rnacentral:rRNA from 1 species
GAGUUUGAUCAUGGCUCAGGAUGAACGCUGGCUACAGGCUUAACACAUGCAAGUCGAGGGGAAACGACGGGGAAGCUUGCUUCCCCGGGCGUCGACCGGCGCACGGGUGAGUAACGCGUAUCCAACCUGCCUCUGACUGAGGGAUAACCCGUCGAAAGUCGGCCUAAUACCUCAUGGCAUCGUCUGCGGGCAUCCAACGACGAUUAAAGAUUUCAUCGGUCAGGGAUGGGGAUGCGUCUGAUUAGCUUGUUGGCGGGGUAACGGCCCACCAAGGCUACGAUCAGUAGGGGUUCUGAGAGGAAGGUCCCCCACAUUGGAACUGAGACACGGUCCAAACUCCUACGGGAGGCAGCAGUGAGGAAUAUUGGUCAAUGGGCGGGAGCCUGGACCAGCCAAGUAGCGUGCAGGAUGACGGCCCUAUGGGUUGUAAACUGCUUUUAUGCGGGGAUAAAGUGAGGGACGUGUCCUUCAUUGCAGGUACCGCAUGAAUAAGGACCGGCUAAUUCCGUGCCAGCAGCCGCGGUAAUACGGAAGGUCCGGGCGUUAUCCGGAUUUAUUGGGUUUAAAGGGAGCGUAGGCCGUGGAUUAAGCGUGUUGUGAAAUGCAGGUGCUCAACGUCUGCACUGCAGCGCGAACUGGUCCACUUGAGUGUGCACAACGCAGGCGGAAUUCGUCGUGUAGCGGUGAAAUGCUUAGAUAUGACGAAGAACUCCGAUUGCGAAGGCAGCUUGCGGGAGCACAACUGACGCUGAAGCUCGAAAGUGCGGGUAUCGAACAGGAUUAGAUACCCUGGUAGUCCGCACGGGUAACGAUGGAUGCCCGUUGUCAGGCUGUUUCAGCCUGGUGACCAAGCGAAACCAUUAAGCAUCCCCACCUGGGGAGUACGCCGGCAACGGGUGAAACUCAAAGGAAUUGACGGGGGCCCGCACAAGCGGAGGAACAUGUGGUUUAUUUGGAUGAUACGAGAGGACCCUUCCCCGGGCUUGAAUUGCAGACGAACGAUUCAGAGAUGAUGGGGCCCUUCGGGGCGUCUGUGAAGGUGCUGCAUGGUUGUCAUCAGCUCGUGCCGUGAGGUGUCGGCUUAAGUGCCAUAACGAGCGCAACCCCUUUCUUCAGUUGCCAUCAGGUGAUGCUGGGCACUCUCUAGAUACUGCCACCGCAAGGUGUGAGGAAGGUGGGGAUGAGGUCAAAUCAGCACGGCCCUUACGUCCGGGGCUACACACGUGUUACAAUGGCCGGUACAGAGAGUUGAUUUUGUGCAAACACGAUCUAAUCCUUAAAUCCGGUCCCAGUUCGGACUGGGGUCUGCAACCCGACCCCACGAAGCUGGAUUCGCUAGUAAUCGCGCAUCAGCCAUGGCGCGGUGAAUACGUUCCCGGGCCUUGUACACACCGCCCGUC